UACGGAGGAUGCGAGCGUUGUCCGGAAUUACUGGGUGUAAAGGGAGCGUAGGCGGGGAUGCAAGUUGGGUGUCAAAACUACCGGCUCAACCGAUAGUCGCACUCAAAACUGCAGCUCUUGAGUGAAGUAGAGGCAGGCGGAAUUCCUAGUGUAGCGGUGAAAUGCGUAGAUAUUAGGAAGAACACCAGUGGCGAAGGCGGGUUACUGGACGACAACUGACGGUGAGGCGCGAAAGCGUGGGGAGCAAACAGG
rnacentral:rRNA from 1 species